UUGGAAUAGGGCACUGCUUGAUAUAGAACAAAUCAUCUCUUAUUAAAGAAUAAUAAUACAGGGUCUGAUGUUACAAUGAAUCACAUCAGCAUAGAGACACUACGCCUGCGGUACUACACUUGCUCUAUGCUAGCAGCGGAACAACUCAAAGCAGCGGAAAUCUUCUAGCAGUGGAACAACGAGGAAGGUGGUGAACUACACUCCGCAGGGACUCUGGCUGGGACAUGAUCUAGCUCGCACGAACGGAAGCCACAACAAGCAAUCAAGAAAUCACGGCAUCACCUGCAAUCUGGCAUGACACGCCAAGUCAGUACAUUGAAUGUAGUUGCAAGCUCACAACAACCAAAAAUAUCAAGCAAGACAACAACAUAGCAUUAAUAGGUUAAUUAAUUAACAACUACCAUGAUACAAUAGCGACUACUAAGCUUGAUAUGAAACUAUUACAAUACUGAUAAAUCACCAUCUCAGAAUUCCAUAACCAUAUCUCUUGGCUAACUGGCCAAGCAAUAUACCAUCUCGAUCACCUCGUGAUCAAAACCAAAUGGUGAUCUUUCCGGUGAUCACUACCAUGACCAACACUUGGUCUCAAACGGUGAUAUUUCCGGCGAUCACUACCAUGACCAACACUUGGUCCCCAACAUCAUCAACAUCCUGCCAAUCCGUACUGCUCAAAAUGUCCACAUAUAAAUCACCUAUAAGUCAUUAUGUCAUGUGAGUCUUGAUCGAACUGUGUCACCUAGUACGAACCCAUGCCCAUGACCGAGGACGCGGCUAUAGAUAGUUUAAACAAACACACUCUGCAGAGGUAGUGCACUUUACCCACACCACAGAACCCAUGGCCUCGCACUCCCAUUCGGGUGGACCAACAGCGUUCCAACAAAACCGAUCUACUACAAUGACACUCUGCCGGCCACUCCGACUCACUCCCCACUAGGCUAGUCCUGGGUGGCCCCAUGUCUACCAAAGACACCAAUGCCCACCGUCGUGGCCAAAACAAUAAACCGUCCCAAAUGGGGACAUGUGCAAAGAACAACAACAACGGGCACACAAGGCUUAUGUCCGCCUACCUGAUCAGGGUAGUGCGCGCCCAUAACCUUCCAUCGUUGGAGGCACCGGUGAGAGACACGGCAAUAGCAUCGCAUUACGGCCUUCCCAUAAAGGCAAAUGUGGUUGCACUAGAGAAAGCCCGGUUCAGUGGCACCUGACCAACUUGAUGACGGAAUUUAUCCCCAAAAUAUAAUUGUGAUAACUGAUAUUCCGAUAUCAACUAUCAAACUAGAAUCCAAGUCAUAGCAAUAUCCAACAAAUAAUCCAAGCAUAAUAUCAUCAUCUCAAAAUACUCCAAGGGUAGCACAACACUACUGUCAUGAUGAAUCCGAAAACCAUAAUCCUACUACUCCAAUAACAAGAAUAAAGCUAUUCAGCUAAGAUCCACAUGUAAACAUCAUCUCCGAAAAUAAUGCUCCAAGCAACAGAACAUCAACUAGCAUCAUGAAAAUAAUCAUACUAACCACUAAUAAUCCAAAGGUAGCAUGACAUCCAAAGUAAUACUCUGAAAUAUACUAACAAAUAUCAUCAUGAAACAAUCAUAAUAUCAACCACUAAUACUCCAAUCAACAGAACAUCAACUAGCAUCAUGAAAAUAAUCAUACGAACCACUAAUAAGCCGACAUCCAAGGUAAUACUCCAAAAUAUACUAACAGAUAUCAUCAUGAAAACAAUCAUAAUAUAAGCCACUAAUAAUCCAAAGGCAUCAUGAUACUCAUAACUCCUAGUAAUCCAAACAAUAGCAUGGCAGCAGCAAGAUCAAAAUAAUACUCUGAGAAAAUGCCAUGCACAGAGUCAUGUAGCUAAAGCAAUAUUUUAAACAAGUUCAAAUAGAUUAAACCAUGUCACUACAUUACAGUGAUGCAAAUGGAGGGUGUGGCUUGCCUGGGGUGGAAGAAAUCACCGGGAGAAAGUGUGAGAAACUUGCGGAACGAAUCACCGAAAAUCGUACUCUCUCGAAGGGGGGUGAUUAAGGGCAGGGGCAAAAUGGUCAUUUUUAGAAUGUCAAAACAUGGUGAAAGUGGUUCCAUCAGAAUGGGCUCGACAAAAUGAAGAACUGGGCUUUCGAUUCACCUCAAACGGAGUUACGAUUGCGGAGUUAUAGUUGUUUUUCUGCCAGGGACCUAUCUGUAAAGAAAUCAUCACAAACAGGCCCUUAAUAGGAAAAACGGAACGCACACUCGAGGAAAUAUGCUUUCGGUGGAUGAAAGCAUAGACGGCAAAAGCCGUGUCCACAUAUCCACAUCGGCGGGGCGGGGCCGGCCUCUGGGUCGCUCACGCCUGGGGCCCGCAGGGUCCACAGCCAGCUAGAGGGGAGAGGUCAUCGCCUUCAUCUUCUCCCCGACCUCGCCCGCGGUCCAGAGAGAGGCCUCCGGCACCGGCGCUUGCCUGGCCGACUUCAGCCAUCCCCCGAGCCGUGCAGCAUAUCGACGUGCUUAGGGAGAUGAGCCGCACCCGCCUGGAGCGUCUACACACCACGGGGAGGACGGCGUCGAGCAAGGUUGCGGCUGCAGUGGACGGCGGCUCCGGGCGGUGAUGGGUUGCGGCUAGAGGCCACCGGAGGAGGGGAUGAGGUGUUAGGGUGGCUCCGAGGUGGUGAUGGAGGUCGCUGGUGGUGGAGAAGAGGAGGGGGAGGCUCGGCUUCGGGCUAAUUUAGCCGAGCUGAGGUGGCGGCUAUGGGGGUUGAGGAGAGCUUCUGGAGCUCGGGCUAGUGGGCAGGGAGUCGUGGGGGAGUGGGUAGAGGUCGCGGUGAUGCUCGGGAGGCCAGGGGAGGGGCUAU
rnacentral:lncRNA from 1 species